AGCCUCUGAUAAUUAUGAAAACUCUUACUGCUGGUACGUACAUGAGACCUGAAGUCCUAUGAGUCAGCAACAAAGAUUUGAGAUUCGCCUACAGACCCUGUCACCCGAGACGAGCGGCCUCCGGCCUUUCCCUGCUCUGCUGCCUCCGAACUCUGCUCCUCUGAGCACACAAUGUUCUGGGACACCUGUUCAAGUGUUGCUCAUUGUAAGUGAUGCUCCGACUCACUGGAGGAUGAGACAGGAGAGAGGCUCAACCAGCAGAGGUCAGCAGACGUUUUCAAAUCAAAACGUCAUUUUACUCCUUUUUUAAAAUUACUUACAUUCACC